rnacentral:rRNA from 1 species
UGGGGAAUAUUGCACAAUGGGCGAAAGCCUGAUGCAGCAACGCCGCGUGAGUGAUGAAGGCCUUCGGGUUGUAAAGCUCUGUCUUUUGGGACGAUAAUGACGGCACCAAAGGAGGAAGCCACGGCUAACUACGUGCCAGCAGCCGCGGUAAUACGUAGGUGGCAAGCGUUGUCCGGAUUUACUGGGCGUAAAGGAUGCGUAGGCGGAUUUUUAAGUGAGAUGUGAAAACCCUAAGCUUAACUUGGGGACUGCAUUUCAUACUGGAAAUCUAGAGUGCGGGAGAGGAGAAUGGAAUUCCUAGUGUAGCGGUGAAAUGCGUAGAGAUUAGGAAGAACACCAGUGGCGAAGGCGAUUCUCUGGACCGUAACUGACGCUGAGGCAUGAAAGCGUGGGUAGCAAACAGGAUUAGAUACCCUGGUAGUCCACGCCGUAAACGAUGAGUACUAGGUGUAGGAGGUAUCGACCCCUUCUGUGCCGCAGUUAACACAAUAAGUACUCCGCCUGGGAAGUACGAUCGCAAGAUUAAAACUCAAAGGAAUUGACGGGGUCAUAGCUGUUUUCCU